UGGCACUAUUCACAAUAGCAAAGACUUGGAACCAAGCCAAAUGUCCAACAAUGAUAGACUGGAUUAAGAAAAUGUGGCACAUAUGCACAGACCUAAGUUUUCUAUGUCUAUGCCUUUGGCCACUGUCCCCUAAAAUGUCUUUUUCCUUUUCUAUAACUGGGUUGGUCUACCUCCAUUUGCGUGGACGUUUCCAUGAGACACAGACUCACAAAGAUUGGGCAGAAUACAAGUAAGUCAAAGCAAGCUACCUCCUGGCCUCUGAAGACCAAGUGGAGAAGAAAACAGGUUUCUAACCAAAGAAGAAAGUUCUGAGUUAUAAUUUCUCAGCACUCUAGGCAAGGUGCAGCACACCUUGACAGUUAGAGAAGAGUAUUUCAUCUUGAAAACCUGCAGCUCACCAGUGAAGUAACAUCCUUUCUUGUUUCAUUGGACGAGACGGCACACUUGUCAGUGGAACUUAGAAGAUGCAGCAGUAACAACAUAAACUAGGUAUAUGCCGAACCCUAUCAGGUCAUCUAUUCUGUAGUCAUCUGGUGGUUGGGAUUAUUCUUAGUGAGACAAGCUAGGCAUCAAAAGGCUGAACAGCUCAAAUACCAAGUAAGACUCAAAUCCUUUUCCUAUGUAUAUAUUAAAAGCUGGUCACACUCUUAGACUUUAAACAUGGCACUGAAAUCUAGGAUUCCAUUCGGGUGCAAGCAACAGAAAACCUAAGAGAGGCCUUCGUAAAUAAGGGGUCAAUUUAUGCAGUGCGACAUGAGCUUUGGAAAUAGGUGGUCCUCACGUGCAGCUGCUCAAAUAGGCCACUGAAGGCUCAGACCCCUUCUCUCUCUUCCUGCUUCAUCAUCUUUCAUAUCUUUAGCUUUUAUUUUCCAUUGCAGGGUGGCUGCUGUGCCUUCAGGCAUCGGAUCACGUUCCAGGUGGUAAGAAGGGAGAGGGCAAAUUGGCAGAGCAGAUGACACUGAGCCUGUUCCUUUCCUUGAAGCGGGCUAUGUUUACCCAUAGUUCAUAUCUGGCAUCUUUUAUAAUUGGUGGUUAUUUAUUUAUUUUUAAUAUUACCCUUGCUUAAAAGCCCCACCUGCUAACUUCUGCUUUAUCUCAUCAUCUAGUUCUGGGUUACAUAGACACCCUUGCCUGGGAUAGAGUUGGAAAUUGAGUGUUUUUACUUGGGUGCACUGCCACCCUCAAACAGGUUUGAGAUUCUGUCAAAGAGAAGACAACAACAGAUACUGAGCAGGCAAUUAAUCGUCUGCCAUAAUGCUUAAUUCAAACUUGUGUAUUAUUCUAAAUUGCACCACUUGGCUUUAUAUUUAAAGGCAACAAGCUUCACCUGUGUCAGGGGCAACUGGUGAUGGAAGAAAAAG
rnacentral:lncRNA from 10 species